rnacentral:rRNA from 1 species
GGCUACUGCUAUUGGGAUUCGACUAAGCCAUGCGAGUCUAUGGACUUCGGUCCAUGGCGGACGGCUCAGUAACACGUGGCUAACCUACCCUCAGGUGGGGCAUAACCUCGGGAAACUGAGGAUAAUACCCCAUAGGAAAAGAGGUUUGGAAUAAUCCUUUUCUGAAAGGAUAUCCGCCUGAGGAUGGGGCUGCGUCCGAUUAGGUAGUUGGUGGGGUAACGGCCCACCAAGCCUACGAUCGGUACGGGCCUUGAGAGAGGGAGCCCGGAGAUGGGGACUGAGACACGGCCCCAGGCCCUACGGGGCGCAGCAGGCGCGAAACCUCCACAAUGCACGAAAGUGCGAUGGGGGGACCCCAAGUGCCUAUGCACAGCAUAGGCUUUUCCCAAGUGUAAACAGCUUGGGGAAUAAGGGCUGGGCAAGUCCGGUGCCAGCAGCCGCGGUAACACCGGCGGCCCGAGUGGUGGCCACUCUUAUUGGGCCUAAAGCGUCCGUAGCCGGUCCAGUAAGUCCCUGUUUAAAUCCUACGGCUUAACCGUAGGGCUGGCAGGGAUACUGCUGGACUUGGGACCGGGAGAGGACGAGGGUACUCCAGGGGUAGCGGUGAAAUGCGUUGAUCCCUGGAGGACCACCUAUGGCGAAGGCACUCGUCUGGAACGGGUCCGACGGUGAGGGACGAAAGCCAGGGGCGCGAACCGGAUUAGAUACCCGGGUAGUCCUGGCCGUAAACUCUGCGGACUAGGUGUCGUCUGGGCCUCGGGCCCAGGCGGUGCCGAAGGGAAGCCAUUAAGUUCGCCGCCUGGGGAGUACGGUCGCAAGACUGAAACUUAAAGGAAUUGGCGGGGGAGCACCACAACNGGGUGGAGCCUGCGGUUU